AAGGAGAAUGAAGGAAAAAGGGAGGGAGAAAACCACCCUUAUACAUUUAGGACUCACAGGGCAGGAGUCCCAGACUGGGAGAAAGUCUGGACGUUUCAGCAGAGUUCAGUGUGCUGUGUCACUGUUUGUCUUGGCCUUUUUCGGCUGUGAGCAGCAGCAGCGUAAAUGAAUGUGCUUCAUUUCCUCAGCAACAAGACUGGGUCACACAUGUCCCCUCCCCUGGUGAGCAACCCAAGGAGUGAGUGGGGUGUCAUGGUGUUGCCAGGGACAGGCUGACAGUAGUACCAAAUUAGGAAAAGGACCGACUGAGGAUGCCUGGCCAAUCUGCAUCCCCAAUGCUCAGCCAGCAAAAUCAGUGGAAGUGUGUGUAAUUCUGCGGAGACUAGGAUGGCAUGUGCUCCGCCAGCAAUGCAGGAAAAAGGAUAAUCAAGCGGGACAUGGUUCUUGAAUAAGUGUAAAGCUAAACAUCAUCAAAAUGCUGCAACACAAUACGAGGGGCUGGAAGUGGUUAGUAUUGUGAUUACAGAGAGGGCAUCAGUAUAGGAUGUCAUUUCUCACAAAGAUCCAGGAAAAUGUCUAGCAUUCAUUUUUAUAAACAAAGCAUAGCACACUGGAGUUAUUUCUUAUUUCAAACGUAUAGUCAUACUACCUUUAUUUAGAACAUGGGCGAGGGGAUUGGAAUGGUAUAUAAAUCCAGGACAAGACUUGGUAUGUAAGUUCCUCCUCAAAAAAGCAAAACGCAAGGCCUAUUCUAAACAAAUCCAGGGCAAUUCAGCUCUGAAGCAUUGUUAAUCUUUUCAUUAAAGGUACAGUCACUAUGUUCCAAAUCCUUCUUCCAAAGAUCAGAUCCAGAUUUUCCAGCUAAUGAAACAAUGAAGUCAUUCCUGACUUGAGAUGCAAACUUCAGUGAGCCUGGAAGUGAGUCCAAGAAGGAAGUGGUGAGAAUGAACACACUGACCUCACUCUCCUUCCUCCUCAUAUCCUGCUGGUGCUCGUCAGCGGCCAAACACGAUCACAAGUUCCCACAAUAGGCUGUCUGCAAGCUGAGGAGCAAGGAAGCCAGUCUGAAUCCUAAAACUGAAGAACUUGGAGUCCAAUGUUUGAGGGCAGGAAACAUCCAGCAUGGGAGAAAGAUGUAGGCUGGGAGGCUACGCUCUUCUCUCUCUCUGUCC
rnacentral:lncRNA from 1 species